rnacentral:rRNA from 1 species
UUACCCGUCUUGAAACACGGACCAAGGAGUCUAACAUGCGCGCGAGUCGUUGGGUCGGACACGNUCCGCUAAACCCAUAGGNGCAAUGAAAGUGAAGGUCGCCCUUUAGCGGGACCGAGGGAGGACGGAGGCGGCNNNNNNNNNNCAGCCUCCCGCACUCCCGGGGCGUCUGAUUCCUCUCUUUGAGGGAAGGCGCACCCAGAGCGCACACGUUGGGACCCGAAAGAUGGUGAACUAUAA